rnacentral:rRNA from 1 species
CUACGGGACGCUGCAGUGGGGAAUAUUGCACAAUGGAGGAAACUCUGAUGCAGCAACGCCGCGUGGAGGAUGACACUUUUCGGAGCGUAAACUCCUUUUAUAUAGGAAGAAGAUGACGGUACUAUAUGAAUAAGCGCCGGCUAAACUCCGUGCCAGCAGCCGCGGUAAUACGGAGGGCGCAAGCGUUACUCGGAAUCACUGGGCGUAAAGAGCGUGUAGGCGGAUUAAAAAGUCAGAAGUGAAAUCCUAUAGCUUAACUAUAGAACUGCUUCUGAAACUCUUAAUCUAGAAUAUGGGAGAGGUAGAUGGAAUUUCUGGUGUAGGGGUAAAAUCCGUAGAGAUCAGAAGGAAUACCGAUUGCGAAGGCGAUCUACUAGAACAUUAUUGACGCUGAGACGCGAAAGCGUGGGGAGCAAACAGGAUUAGAUACCCGAGUAGUC